rnacentral:rRNA from 1 species
UACGUAGGGGGCAAGCGUUGUCCGGAUUUAUUGGGCGUAAAGAGCGUGUAGGCGGCCAAGCAGGUCCGCUGUGAAAACUCGAGGCUCAACCUCGAGACGUCGGUGGAAACCGUUUGGCUAGAGUCCGGAAGAGGAGAGUGGAAUUCCCGGUGUAGAGGUGAAAUUCGUAGAUAUUGGGAAGAACACCGGUGGCGAAGGCGGCUCACUGGCUCAUUUCUGACGCUCAGGCGCGACAGCGUGGGGAUCAAACAGG